AUCGAACGCUGGCGGCAGGCCUAAUACAUGCAAGUCGAGCGAGCGGCGGACGGGUGAGUAAUGUCUGGGAAACUGCCUGAUGGAGGGGGAUAACUACUGGAAACGGUAGCUAAUACCGCAUACCAUCAGCUGUGCCCAGAUGGGAUUAGCUAGUAGGUGGGGUAACGGCUCACCUAGGCGACGAUCCCUAGCUGGUCUGCGAGGAUGACCAGCCACACUGGAACUGAGACACGGUCCAGACUCCUACGGGAGGCAGCAGUGGGGAAUAUUGGACAAUGGGCGCAAGCCUGAUGCAGCCAUGCCGCGUGAGUGAAGAAGGCCUUCGGGUUGUAAAGCACUUUCAGCGGGGAGGCGUUACCCACAGAGGAAGCACCGGCUAACUCCGUGCCAGCCGCCGCGGUAAUUC
rnacentral:rRNA from 1 species